rnacentral:lncRNA from 10 species
AGAUAAAGUCGUUGAAUACUAGCGUGUUGUCAUACACUUUUUCUCAGAGUUUUUAAAGAGUACUUCGCUGAAAUGAUGCCAUCAGGAAAGAGAUAUUUUUACCUCUAUCACCUAUCAAUGCGAGACCAUAGCAGGCUAUAGUGCAGUAAUAUCAUCAUGGCUCACUGCAAUCUCGACUUCUCCAGCUCAAACAAUCCUCCCACCUCAGCCUCCCAAGCAGUUGGGACUACAGGCACGUGUCAUUACACCCAGGCUAUCUGCAAUACAUGACUCUGGAAGCUAGGGUGCUCUAUGCUGUGAUGCUAUCAAAUCUUCAUGGAUUUUUCCAGGAUCCUCAAA